ACGCUCGACACCUACGGGAGGCAGCAGUCGGGAAUAUUGCGCAAUGGAGGAAACUCUGACGCAGUGACGCCGCGUAUGGGAAGAAGGUUUUCGGAUUGUAAACCAUUUUAGACAAGGAAGAAACAAGACAGUACUUGUAGAAUAAGCUCCGGCUAACUACGUGCCAGCAGCCGCGGUAAUCUGAGCGGGCUGGCAAGGC
rnacentral:rRNA from 1 species